rnacentral:rRNA from 1 species
AUUGGGUUUAAAGGGUCCGUAGGUGGAUAUUAAGUCAGAGGUGGAUCUUGCAGCUCAACUGUAAAAUUGCCUUUGAUACUGGUUAUCUUGAGUUACUAUGAAGUAGUUAGAAUAUGUAGUGUAGCGGUGAAAUGCAUAGAUAUUACAUAGAAUACCAAUUGCGAAGGCAGAUUACUAAUAAUCAACUGACACUGAUGGACGAAAGCGUGGGUAGCGAACAGGAUUAGAUACCCUGGUAGUCCACGCCGUAAACGAUGGUUACUAGUUGUUGGAAUUAUUCAGUGACUAAGCGAAAGUGAUAAGUGUCCCACCUGGGGAGUACGAUCGCAAGAUUGAAACUCAAAGGAAUUGACGGGGGCCCGCACAAGCGGUGGAGCAUGUGGUUUAAUUCGAUGAUACGCGAGGAACCUUACCAGGGCUUAAAUGUAAGAUGCAUUAGUUAGAGAUAGCUAUUUCUUCGGACUUCUUACAAGGUGCUGCAUGGUU